GGCGACAUAGCUCAGUUGGGAGAGCAGCAGACUGAAGUGAUUCCUUGUCAUCUGAAGGUCCCGUGUUCAAGCCACGGUGUUGCCA